UCUACCUGAGGGUCUGGGACAACCCCGGAAACUGGGGCUAAUACCGAUGAGACCACGGCGUCCUCGGACGCAGCGGUCAAAGGUGGCCUCUCCUUGGAAGCUAUCGCCACAGAUGAGCCCGCGUCCCAUUAGCUUGUUGGCGGGGUAACGGCCCACCAAGGCGACGAUGGGUAGCUGGUCUGAGAGGAUGAUCAGCCACACUGGAACUGAGACACGGUCCAGACUCCUACGGGAGGCAGCAGUCGGGAAUUUUGGGCAAUGGGCGAAAGCCUGACCCAGCAACGCCGCGUGAGGGAUGAAGGCCUUCGGGUCGUAAACCUCUGUCGGGAGGGAAGAAAGGCGCGCGGGUGAACAAUCCGCGUACUUGACGGUACCUCCAAAGGAAGCGCCGGCUAACUCCGUGCCAGCAGCCGCGGUAA
rnacentral:rRNA from 1 species